rnacentral:rRNA from 1 species
UAGAGAGAGACAUGCGCGCAUAUCAAUAAGCGGAGGAAAAGAAACUAACAAGGAUUCCCUUAGUAACGGCGAGUGAAGCGGGAAGAGCUCAAAUUUGAAAUCUUCAAGGUUUUACCUUGACGAAUUGUAGUUUAAAGAAGUGUUUUCUGCUGAAGUUUUGGUAAAAGUUCUUUGGAAUAGGACAUCAUAGAGGGUGAGAAUCCCGUAUUUGACCAUUAUUUUCAGCUUUGUGAUACACUUUCAAAGAGUCGGAUUGUUUGGGAAUGCAGUCCAAAAUGGGUGGUAAAUUUCAUCUAAAGCUAAAUAUUGGCGAGAGACCGAUAGCGAACAAGUACCGUGAGGGAAAGAUGAAAAGAACUUUGAAAAGAGAGUUAAACAGUACGUGAAAUUGUCAAAAGGGAAGCGUUUGACACCAGUGUUGUUUUCUCGAAAAUCAAUUAAAAAUGGCUCGAUUUUGUAUUGCUUGAGACCUUAAAAGCUCACUGUACAUUUUUCGUGUCUUUUUUAAUGCACUUUUCGUUUAACAAGUCAACAUCAGUUUCUUUUGUUGUAAAAGGGUCAUUGGAAGGUGGCUUUCUUUUCGGAGAAAGUGUUUAUAGCCUUUGGCCUCUGCAAUCGGAGAGACUGAGGUCUGCAGCGUAGACUCUUCGGGGUUAGAUACAUUUGUGCUAAGUUAUAGCUUUUUAUAGACAACUCGUUGACUAUAAUUAGUCUUGUAGCUUACUCGCUUAUGCUAUUUUACCUACGCUUAGGAUGUUGAAGAUGUAGCACAUCAU